AAGUCCUAGUUUACGAUGAUGAGACUUAUAUGAUGCAAGAUGUGGCGGAAGAACAAGAAAUUGAAACCGAGACUGUGGAAUCAGGGAGGUAGAAGACCUUCACGAAAAAUUGGGGAUUUGAAAAGGAGUCCCCACCUUUGAAGAGCCUGAAGGUGAAACACACCGUGCCGGAAAGAAGACAGUGCUGAUAAAACUUCAGGGUGUGCCAUGCCCACACUGCCAUGGGAACCACUCCUGAGAAUCUUCAAUCUUUAUUCAUUCCCACAAUUUAUUUUUGCUUACCAACUUGCUCCUGCAUAUUUAUUUAAAAUUUCUUCCAUUUGAUUAUUUGAUCCUGCAUACGAGUAAUCCAGAGACAGAAAUGUCUGUGGCAGUUCUGCUAUGUUCACUCUGGAACUGUUAGAAUUGUAAUUGCAGAGUUAAAUGAUUUUUUUUCCCCAUUUCCCUCAGCUGUCAGUCAUACAGAGAAGGCCUUAAGCUUAAUCAUGAAGCGUUAUUGGGGAAAAAGGAUGAUUGCCUUAGUUUUAUUCAUUCAAUCAUAUUUAUUGAGUAUUUACUGUGUGCAGAGCGCUAUACUAAGUGCUUGGGAGAGUACAAUGCAACAAUAGUUUUAAUACCGUUGUCACAAUGUAUCAGAAUCGAUUUAUCAUCAGGAAAACCCACUCUUUGGGAUGUUGCCAUAAGAGCAAGCCUAUGAAAAAUGAGGCGAGCUGUUGGUUAAGGAAGAUACUCUUGUAAAUGGAAGAAUAAGCUAUCCAAAUACCGGCUUUAAGAUCUUGGAAAUCAGUUGGAAAAAUACAAUGUG